CCAGACCAUUGUACCAUUCUGGGCCCCAGCUUCCACCAAAUAUCAGUCUGGCCCUGGAAACCAACCCCAAGUUGCUCUCCCUCCUCUAAGAACAAGAUAAUUUAUCUCCUACUUUGAAUCUGCGGUCCCACCCCUCCUCUUGUCUAGACUCUCAAGCGGUGGCCUUCAUGGCCCCCUACCUUGCUCCCGCACUCCAGCUCUCAGCCUUAUCUUCCAUUGUCACUUUCUCCUUCACAACCAAGAACUGGAUUUGUGACGCGUUGAGCUGACAGGGACAGGGAGUGGGGGGAGGCUGGGGAAGGAGGGACUGGAACACCGUGAACCUCCAAAUGGCAAGUUUUGCCCUCCAUCACUCCUUAGCACUAUCAACUCCACUCCCCAGGGAGCCGCACACACAGCAUGUAAUCAUGCUCUCACGUUCCAAGUGAAUUAGAACUGGAAGGAGCCUGAGGAUGGGGGCAUUUCUGUUGCACCCUCCUCUCGCUUCCUCGGGGGAUGAGGGUGGCCUGGAGGAACAAUAGCUUCCCUCAGCCCCUCAUCCUGUCUCAUGUUAGAAAAGGCAGAGGGAUGAGGUGGACACCGUGGAGAUGACAAAGACCCCUUCCCACACAGGAGUGAGAAGGAAGAAGGCAGGGGCUCUUUGGAGUGUGUUGUUAUUUUGGUGGAGGUGGUGUCUCCAGACAGGGGCUGCACCCCCUUUUUGCUGCCUUUCCAGGGAGAUCAACCAGAGAAAGAAAGAGGCAAACGGAAAUUCCUGAAUGGAGAGGCAGAUGCUACGUCAUCAGAGCUGCAUCCUCCCGUCCGCAGGAGGCUAGGAGCCCGGGGGAGACGCAGUCCAGCAGCGGGGGCCACCGAUCAGUCUGUCCUCACAGGAGCCUGGUGCUGGGCCUCCAGGAAGCCUGUUUGUUUCUGGUGUCAUCGUAGGUGGCCACCUUUGGCUUUUGGGGCUCUUGAGGGAGGAGAUGAAGGCCAGUUGCCCAUGAGGGAGAAGGGAGCAGAGAUAUCUAUUCAUGGCUGACAGAGG